AUACGGAGGGUCCAAGCGUUAUCCGGAUUCAUUGGGUUUAAAGGGUCCGCAGGCGGGCGAUUAAGUCAGAGGUGAAAUCCCACAGCUCAACUGUGGAACUGCCUUUGAUACUGGUUGUCUUGAAUUUUAGUGAAGUAGAUAGAAUAUGUAGUGUAGCGGUGAAAUGCAUAGAUAUUACAUAGAAUACCGAUUGCGAAGGCAGUCUACUAACUAACAAUUGACGCUAAUGGACGAAAGCGUGGGGAGCGAACAGGAUUAGAAACCCUAGUAGUCC
rnacentral:rRNA from 1 species